rnacentral:rRNA from 1 species
UCUAUGGACAUUACCACCCUGAACAUACUCUAUUUCAUCUGAUCUCAGAAUCUAAGCAUGAUCGCUCUGUUAGUACUUGGAUGGGAGAAAUAAGAAAGUCCUUAUAU